rnacentral:rRNA from 1 species
CCUGGGAAUGGCGUUUUGAACUGGCAGUCUAGAGUGCGUCAGAGGGGGGUGGAAUUCCACGUGUAGCAGUGAAAUACGUAGAGAUGUGGAGGAACACCGAUGGCGAAGGCAGCCCCCUGGGAUGACACUGACGCUCAUGUACGAAAGCGUGGGUAGCAAACAGGAUUAGAUACCCUGGUAGUCCACGCCCUAAACGAUGUCAACUGGUUGUUGGGGGAGUGAAAUCCCUUUAGUAACGAACCUAACGCGUGAAGUUGACCGCCUGGGGAGUACGGUCGCAAGAUUAAAACUCAAAGGAAUUGACGGGGACCCGCACAAGCGGUGGAUGAUGUGGAUUAAUUCGAUGCAACGCGAAAAACCUUACCUACCCUUGACAUGUCCGGAAUCCUGCAGAGAUGCGGGAGUGCCCGAAAGGGAAUCGGAACACAGGUGCUGCAUGACUGUCGUCAGCUCGUGUCGCGAGAUGUUGGGUUAAGUCCCGCAACGAGCGCAACCCUUAUCAUUAGUUGCUACGCAAGGGCACUCUAAUGAGACUGCCGGUGACAAACCGGAGGAAGGUGGGGAUGACGUCAAGUCCUCAUGGCCCUUAUGGGUAGGGCUUCACACGUCAUACAAUGGUCGGUACAGAGGGUUGCCAAGCCGCGAGGUGGAGCCAAUCCCAGAAAGCCGAUCGUAGUCCGGAUUGUUCUCUGCAACUCGAGAGCAUGAAGUCGGAAUCGCUAGUAAUCGCGGAUCAGCAUGUCGCGGUGAAUACGUUCCCGGGUCUUGUACACACCGCCCGUCCCCCCCAUGGGAACUGGAGAGAG